AAUCAACGUUGGCGGCGCGCCUAACACAUGCAAGUCGAACGAGAAAGUGGAGCAAUCCAUGAGUACAGUGGCGUACGGGUGAGUAACACGUGGGUAAUCUGCCUGUUAGUGGGGAAUAACCCUGGGAAACCGGGGCUAAUACCGCAUAAGUUUGUAAGAAGAAAGUCGCAAGACGCUGACAGAGGAGCCCGCGGCCGAUUAGCUAGUUGGCAGGGUAAAAGCCUACCAAGGCGACGAUCGGUAGCCGGCCUGAGAGGGCACACGGCCACACUGGCACUGAAACACGGGCCAGACUCCUACGGGAGGCAGCAGUGGGGAAUCUUGCACAAUGGGGGGAAACCCUGAUGCAGCGACGCCGCGUGAGUGAUGAAGCCCUUCGGGGUGUAAAGCUCUUUCGACGGGAACGAUUAUGACGGUACCCGGAGAAGAAGCUGCGGCUAACUACGUGCCAGCAGCCGCGGU
rnacentral:rRNA from 1 species